GGUGCACCUGAGAAGCCGCUCGAGUUACCAGCUUUCCCAUUACUCACAGGACGGAAGGUUGUGGGUGGGAGUGCGAUCGGAGGGCUAAAAGAGACUCAAGAGAUGAUAAAUUUCGCAUCACAUCAUGGCAUCACUUCAGAUAUCAAGGUUAUUUCAAUGGAUUAUGUGAACACCGCAAUGGAGCGUCUUGCAAAGGCAGAUGUUAGAUAUCGUUUCGUUAUAGACAUCGGGAAUUCAUUAAAGUCUACAGCCUAAGAC